GGUAUAGCAAUUAAAGGAUGUUGCUGGUUUGAUAAAAAAACAUUGGUUUCUACAGAACACUUGCAAAUAUAUUUUCAGUAAUAAAUGUGAGCUUGCGGCGCAGACCGCUACUGGGAGUUGUAAGUUUAUUUGUGUUGUUUUCUUAUUUAGUCGCUAGGUGGUGUGCCAUACGCUAUGCAAACAAGUUGCCUCGCUUUGUUUACGUUUUGGACUUGCCAGUUUGCGCGCCGCGGAUCCAAAACGAUGUCCUCGCAGAAGGUUAGGCUGCUGGGUCCUCAUGUUUCAGCGAGGCAACGCGAUAUACUCGUGUCAUUUGUUGAAGAGCACCCCUACCUUGCGAAGGCGUCGUGUGUGCUGGGUCAACAGCUGACGGCGGCGCGCAAGGAGGAGCUCUCGCAGCAAGUGAUUGCCUUGCUGAACGCUGAGGGCCCGGCAGUGAAAACUGCAGCCCAAUGGCGCGGCGUGUGGAAGAAAGACGUGUAUAACGCCCGCCGUGAUGCAGCCAGAGGAACCGGAGGAGGCAGCCUGCCCGGACCGCGAGGGCGGGCGAGCGCCAUCGGAGUCUGCCCGCCGUUCUUUGAGCCCGACGAAGAGGUGAACAUCAGGCGCAUGGGUUUCAAUAGGUCAACGCCAAGUCGACGUGCUGUCGCGAUUCGCUCAGUCACCGCCGUUAUGGCUGAUGUGUGGUCGCGCGCUAGUGUUGCCGCUCAGAAGAUGGCCCGAGCUUGAGCGGAAAUCGUCAAGCUAUUUACUAUCGCUUGCGUCAAGUAAGGUCGACAUUUUUGUUUAAUACCUUUCAUCAGUAUUUCAGUCUACUCAUUCAAACAUUAGGGGGGUUAAUAGAGUUGAUUUUCCGGUCGGAGCCGGCGAAAUGUCUGAGGUUGUAUUUAGUGUGACGAGCAUCGAGUGAUUAUUACAGAGUUUGAAACGAACAAAAGUGUGUGGUCCGGAUGAUAUCCCUACAUCAUUCCUUAUAAAUUGCUCGGGCAUCUUUGUACUUCUGUCGCUUAUUUCAAAAUUUCUUAAAUAACAGCGUUGUUCCUGGUGAUUGGAAACUAGCGCGAGUGGUGCCAAUUCAUAAGAGUGGACAGAGGAACAGAGUUGAGAAUUACGGACCAGUAUCCUUAACUAGCAUUUUAUGUAUGUAAGGUUAUGGCACAUGUGUAUACCUGCAUCAUGUCUCAUCUUGAUAACAAUAACCUUCUUCAUCCUAGUCAGCAUGGGUUUCGGCAGGGUUUUUCGUGUACGACACAAUUGGUUGCAUUCACUCAUGAGCUAGUCUCAGCAGUCGACAAGAAACAAAUUGUUGAUUGUAUAUUUCUGUAUUUCAAAAAAGCUUUUGACGUCGUUACGCAUAGUCUACUGAUCGCUAAACUUUUACUUUACAAAUUGGAUGAGAAGGUUAUCGCAUGUAUUGCCGAGUAUCUUCGCUCAAGACAGAUGUCUGUGGCUCUCAACGGAUGUUCCUCUGAAUACGUACCUGUGACUUCUGGGGUUCCCCAGAAGUCACAUUCAUGGCACCACUUCAGGCAUUACAUCAUCAUUUACAGCAUGGUUUCCAAAAAGGAUUUUCUUGCGAAACCUAACUACUAGAAUUCACGUCAGACUUACACUUUCAUAUGAACAGUAAUAAACAAAUUGACUGCAUCUUUUUGGAUUUCUCGAAAGCAUUCGAUCGUGUAGCCCAUAGUCACCCGAUAUCAAAGCUCUCAGCAAUUAAACUCAACUCACUAACCCUAUCAUGGAUUCGUAAUUUUCUUACUAAUCGCGAACAGUUCACUGUUGUUGCUAACUUUUCCUCUGGCCUCUUUGACGUCACCUCUGGUGUACCUCAAGGCAGUUUACUUGGGCCUCUUCUCUUUUUAAUUUACAUUAACGACUUGCCGAACAAUAUAUCAUCUUCUGUACGAUUAUUAUUUCACAGAUUUGUUCACACAGUUGGCCUAACCUUAUCAAACCUGAAAGAAGCAUCCUCGACGUCACAACGACUGAACAAUCAGUUCAGCUACACCCGAAUUUAUGGCAACACACAACGCUUUUAAUUUUUCAACUUUGCCCCGUGCGGUCCGUUUAUGGAACGCACUACCAGAUACCAUUGCAUGCCAAUCUAAACACACUGCAUUUCGCAAUCUGCUAAGCAAUCAAUAUGCCGUUUCAACCGUCUAAACACGUCAUGUCUUUUGUAAUUUACUUGCAUUUUUUUCUACAAGUUAAAGAAUUUCAGCGCUCCCAAUUUUUUUACAAUACUUACUACUGUAUAACAUGUAAAAACGUUUACAAUGUUAUUAUGCUAUUAUGUUGUUGUUUACCAUUUAUUGUUAUUGCUCUACAUAUUGUAUUUGCUAAUGUAUUAAUUUUCCAUGUUCUGUGUGCACUCCUUUCAUUAUGCUGAUGUUUAUUUCUUUCCCGAUUCCAUACUAAUAUGUUACCGUAUUUCCCCCUUACACUAUGCCUUCUCGAAGGCCUGUAAGGUACACGUAAAUAAAUAAAUAAAUAUUUAGAAUGUUUGCAGAUGACUGUAUAGUAUAUAAGGUCAUCAACAGCGAAUCUGACCAACAAGCACUACAAUAUGAUUUGGAUUUGAUUGCCACAUGGUGUGAAAAAUGGAAAAUGUCACUGAAUGAGCAAAAGAGUGUCCACGUCACCUUUACCGGGAAGCGCUCAUAUGACAGCAAUCGUAACACUAUAAAUAAUGCUACUCUUGAACAAGUGUCAGAAUAUAAAUACUUAGGUGUAUUUUUUUCUGCUGAUCUAAGGUGGAACAGACACGUUACUCAUGUUAGGAACAAGGCUGUCGGAGCAUUAGGUUUCUUGAAACGUAUCUUUAGUAGCUUGCCACAGAAACUUAGGGAGCAACUGUAUUUCACACAUGUGCGCAGUACACUAGAGUAUGCGUGUGUUUGCUGGGAUCCAUAUACUACAGAACUUGUAGAUAAACGAGAAAAAGUGCAGAACAGGGCAGUUCGGUUUGUCCUUGGCAAUUAUGACAGGAUGCUUAGCAUGACAGAAAGCAAAAAGGCAUUAAAUUGGCAUCUUCUCGAACACCGUCGCCGAAACCUCAGAUUAAAAUUUCUUCAUAACAUAUACCACUCUAAUGCGGGGAUAGCCAGGUAAUUGUAUUUUCAGCCGCCCACAUGUUUCUCAAAGGCGAGAUCACAAAUUAAAAAUAUGUGAGAUUCCUUUUGACGCUCUAUUGCAUGAAUUAUGAAAAGUCAUUUUUUCAGCUUUCAUUAUUGAUUGAAUGAGCAAACACGACUGUAAUAAUAAAGAUAAAGCUUUGUGCCAAAUAUGGCACACCAUGAAGAUGGCUGAGCGCUCUUGCUGCCAUGGGCGGAAAACAAACCUUCACGGACGGUGGUCUUUUUAGUGCGAUGUGGGGAAUGAAAUGAAACAGUUGUUUGCUGCGUUCAGGCACAGAUGAAUGUUGCACUUCCUCUAUCUUACCAACGACUUGUUUGUGCAAGGUGGCCGCUUACAUCUUUGUUUCUUCUCGUCAAAUUCUGGCCAGUGGCCGACUUGGUCAGAUCGGUCGUCUUUGGGUGGCAUUGCGGCCGCUGGUCCCUGUGCUUUUUUGACUUGAACCUGGAAUUCGAUGUCCUGACUAGAAGUCCUUCCUGGUCGCUAGUUGGGUAGGCACUUGUUAUGCGAGGUAAGGCAUUCUGCAAUUUCUGCUUUUAAAUGAGCCAGCGGUAGUACUUGUCUCCUCCUAAGCUGCUCCUGCACCCUCCUGUACAAGACCCAUGCUGUUACUACCGAUAAGUCUAGCAUAGGCGUAAAAAUUCGAAAGUGCCAUUUCUUCGACCUCUGAUAUGUAUGCAGUAAAGUCCAAACAGUGAGUGCAGCAGGUCAACACCACCCAUGUGCCUGUUAUGGACCUUUACUACGCUGGGGCAAUCAAUUUCGCGAAACACCUUGGCGGAGGUAAACCAGCGCUUAGUCUUUUGGACUGGAUCUCUCCCAACAAAGCUCGGCAGAAAUGUCACUGCGCGGUUAUCGUAUCAACGCACACACGAUAACUCCACGUCAUGUAUCGCGUUUGUGAGUGCCUCUGAAGCACCACGUCCUUUACAUUUCAGUUCCUUUUCGCUUUUCAGGCGGCUGUUUGGUAGACAAUUCGCCCUUACCGUACCGAUCGUCAAAAUUCCAUCUUGUGAUAGAGUGACCUGCAACUUCGGGCUAUUGAACAGAUGGCAGCACGUUACCAUAUUUUGUAUUUCAAGUUCAUACUGUGCCAAAUAUGGCACACACCGAUUUCGGUUUCUCUGCUGUAGUUGCAGGCAAAAUUGAGAAAACUAGUAACUGCCUUGAAUUGACGAGACCAAAAAAUAUGCCAAAAUAAUUUUUCUAUGCUUCUGCGGUCGAAAUUUUCAGAGAAAAAAAAAACAAUUGCUCGUGUUUGCCCCCUCCAAGUUUCACGUUGCAUCCCAAAAUCUACUUCACCUCUGUUUUGCGUAUCGCUCAAGAGAUGGCAGCACUUGCCCAUAAUAAGUGCGCAUAACUAUGAGAUUUACUCUGAUGGUAUCACAUUCUCAACUGGGAAUCUCACACACGCGAAAAAGAAUGGUAACUGGUAUGUGCCAAAUAUGGGACGCCAUGCAAUAGAAGGUUAAAAGCGACGCUUUCCGCUACUCUUUCUAUGUUCGUACUAUAAGAGAUUGAAAUACUCUACCACCUGACACUGUCUGUAUUUGUUCAAAUGAUGAUUUCUUCCAUGCUUUAUGAAUGUAAUUUUGAGUGUUCAUUUAUAUGAGUUGUACCCUCCCUGCUGUAAUGCCUGAAUGGCGAAGCAGGUACCCAGUGAAUAAAAUAAAGAAAUGUUUCAUUGUCAUGAUUUUGUUUAUAUUGUGUUAUAGCGUAGUUGCACCUUGUUAAGCAGCAAUUACGAGCAUUAUGUGAAAUCAUGCGUGCAAGAAAUGCAAUGUUGAAGCAACUCUUGAGUUUAAACAAAGCAGUAGUAAGCAUGAGUGUCUGCUAUGUAAAGAAAUCCUGCUCCAAAAAGUGCUUGGCAUGUCUCGUUUGUUGCUAUACGUUUCAAUAUGUGCUAUACAGAUUGCUUUGAACGACAUUUCAGUUGCUGUGCAACUUGUGCUGUGCUUGUGUGUCACACAUGAACAGACACCUUCAGCUUUGGAACAAUGCAUACUGCACAGUAAAAUAGGCAUCGCAAAGCAAUAUUCAACUAUGCAAGAUUGGUUGCCAUUCACCUUGGAAAUAACCUUUAUUUAAAGAAAAUUCCCUGGCAAGACAAUAUUCAAAAGCACAGUGAACAAAGCAAAGGAGUAACAUAAUGGCACAUGGCUAUUUGUCACUGCAUGUGUAUCUGUCAUGCUCAACAUAGACAAAUCAUGUGCUUUUCACUACCGCAGUAUGCAGCAUACUACGAUUAGCCACAUGUGAGCACACGCAAUGUGUUAUGUUGAAGUGCACGGCCUAUUUACUUCAUGAAAAGAAAAAUAAAACAUGUUCCACCAGCACA